GAGAAUGAAAAUCUUAAUUUACCUCAGG
rnacentral:piRNA from 1 species